GAUGAACGCUGGCGGCGUGCCUAAUACAUGCAAGUCGAGCGAACAGACGAGGAGCUUGCUCCUCUGACGUUAGCGGCGGACGGGUGAGUAACACGUGGAUAACCUACCUAUAAGACUGGGAUAACUUCGGGAAACCGGAGCUAAUACCGGAUAAUAUAUUGAACCGCAUGGUUCAAUAGUGAAAGACGGUUUUGCUGUCACUUAUAGAUGGAUCCGCGCCGCAUUAGCUAGUUGGUAAGGUAACGGCUUACCAAGGCGACGAUGCGUAGCCGACCUGAGAGGGUGACCGGCCACACUGGAACUGAGACACGGUCCAGACUCCUACGGGGGGAAGCAGUAGGGACUCUUCCGCAAUGGGCGAAAGCCUGACGGAGCAACGCCGCGUGAGUGAUGAAGGUCUUCGGAUCGUAAAACUCUGUUAUUAGGGAAGAACAAAUGUGUAAGUAACUAUGCACGUCUUGACGGUACCUAAUCAGAAAGCCACGGCUAACUACGUG
rnacentral:rRNA from 1 species